rnacentral:tRNA from 1 species
GAGGGUAUAACUCAGUGGUAGAGUGCAUGCUUAGAUGCACAAGGUCCUAGGUUCAAUCCCAGUACUUUCA